AUUUCGAACAGAGCCGUUAAGCCCCGUACUGCCGAUGGUACUGCUGUCACAAGCGGGAGAGUAGGAAGAUGCCACCU
rnacentral:rRNA from 1 species